rnacentral:lncRNA from 1 species
CCACUCCAGGCCCCGGAUUCGUCCUCCUCCAAGCCUCAUUUCUAGCUCCCCCUCCUCUCAUUGAGCUUGUAAAGUUGGAAGGAUAGUGGGCUAGUUUCUUUCUCUUAUGCUCUCUUUUAUAGGAUUCUGCUUCUCUUCCUCUUCUCCUUUCAACUUCCAGCCACACCACACUGCUGAAGCAGAGUCUCAUUUGACAGAGGAUGGUAGGCUACCUCGUACUUGAGUUACAUUUGGAGAGCUGCACUGUGUUGCUACAGAACACAGACAAGAGUACCUAAGGGAAACUGAAGCUGUAUGUGAGCCAUCAUCUUAAGAUUAAGAAGACGACUGAGCAGACGAGAUGCCAAGGCAAACUGGGAAGAAUUUCAGGCCAUAGCAAGGUGCCUCUUCUAUUACUUUCUGUGGCUAGGUGCAUCCUCAUGUUAUUUUAUGGGACUUGCUUUGAAGUCACACUGAUGAAAUAUGGAGUCAUCUUUGAUAAAUUCACCUGGAUCAGAGGAAAGCUGCUUUAUUAGAGAAACAUAAAGAAAACAAAUGCCAGAGGAACCCGACAGAUGCCUGCUCUGCACCUUAUUAUAUCUUCUCUAUAUGUUUUUAGCCCAUCAGAAUUAAUGACUGACACAUUAAAGAAAAUGACCUAUUUAUCAUAUUAUUUUUAGCAGUUAAAAUUAUUUUUCAUU